rnacentral:rRNA from 1 species
UACGUAGGGGGCGAGCGUUGUCCGGAGUUACUGGGCGUAAAGGGCACGCAGGCGGCCAUGUAAGUCUGUUCUGACAGCUCCUGGCUCAACCGGGAGAGGCGAACGGAAACUGUAUGACUUGAGGACUUCAGAGGGACACGGAAUUCCGGGUGGAGUGGUGAAAUGCGUAGAGAUCCGGAGGAACACCAAAGGCGAAGGCAGUGUCCUGGGAAGUACCUGACGCUCAGGUGCGAAAGCCAGGGGAGCGAACGGG